GUGUGCAUGUGUGCAUGUGUGGCAUAUGUGCCGUAUGUCAGUAGCUUGACAGUUUUCAAAUCGUGCCUAUAUUUUUUUGCAUACACAAAUUUUUGUGUUUGCAAACUCAGAAUCCAUGCCAAAAUACAAUGUUAUAUGUCAUUUUCAGCUCCUUCUCUAAAGGAAUGGCCCAUUUCUCAUUGUAGUUUGAGAAAUACAUGUAUGAAGAGAUAGGGGUCUUGGGCUUCCCAGUGUCACUUUGAACACCUGAAUAACAUUUAACUCCUGAGACCUUCUCGGUGUAGAGGCCACUGCUUCCCCCUGCUGGAGAUGGCAUUUCAUUGAAGGGCCUCUCGUGGCUUUCCCUGCCCCCGGCUGUCUGGCCUGAAGAAGGAGAAAGAACCAAACUGAACUAUGAAAAGUUACCACUCUGAGGAGACCUCUCUUAAUUAACACUUGGGGCCAUGUUUGCUGUUGUUGAGAAGGAGUGUUCUCAAAGAUGAGCUGGAAUGGAAUUGUAUUUAGAAAGGCCCCUGCAAAGUAUAUAGAUGGAUGACUCUAGUUCAUGACAUACAAAUCCCAUAAGGCCAACGACCACUCUUCUGGAACACCAAGAGCAGCUCUGAGAUCAUGCUGGCCCUACGCGAAUUGAGUUUCUGUGGCCUAAUUGGAUUUGGAGAACGCCUUCCCUGGCCCCUUUUCCUCAGACAGAUCUGCUCUGAUAGGAACCUUUUCAAGAAAGUUACUGUUGUUUCAAUGCCACUCCUUACCUGUAUAGAACAUUUCCAAUACAUUCGCUCAUUGAACUUAAUCCUUGCAACUGUGACUGGGGGGUAGAUGGCUCUGUUUGCAUACGAAGAAAUAAAGGCUCCAGGAGGUUAAAUCGGGCAACUUUUUAGAACUAAAUCAGUCUCUGUAAGGCCUACAUUGCUAAGAUACCAUUUCAGCUCUGAAAAUCUGCUUCAGGGAAGUGAGUGGAUGAGGCCUUCCUGCCUCAGCUACUCUGCCCGUCUGUACAUCUUUUGUGUCUGCCUCCGUACCUUAUUCAGUUAUUUUCACACUAAAGUAAGUAGAAUUAAGACUGUAGUUCAGAUGCUUUUUCUUUUUCUGUUGGAAACUGAACACACUACAGACAGUGAAAAAAGGUACAUAUUCCAUUUUCUCAUUGCCUGAAGAUCUCUGCUGAUGCUCCUGGAGAAUGACUUUGGGGGCUUUAGAAAGAAUAUUGCCAGUCCGUCUCGGCAAGGAGAUGAUGGGAGCGCUUUAUAUGGAGGCUUUACAUGACUUGUAAAUUAAAUGUGAAUGAGGGCAGUUGAUUAAAAUUGGUAUUACAGAAGGGCCCUGCUGAGGUUUGAAAACAGCUGAGCUGCUGAUGUCUCAGGCCUUUCCCUGAAUUAGCACUGCGGUUCUCCAGGAUAUCAGCAAAGAGGGCAAGUAAUAGAAGCCCCUGAUAAGGAGCGUCAGCCGACAGGCAAGCUUGGGAGGCUGUGGGAAUGGGUCUGCCCCCAGCUUCACAGACCUCUUCCUCCAGCCUCUGAAUCCCAUUAGCCACAGCCUAGAACAUUAGCUGAGCUGCACAAGCUCACCCACCCCUGUGCCAGGGGGCCCUGACCUCCCUCCAUGCCAUGUUUUUGGCUGUAUCUACGGCACUUAACAAUAGGGGCUUUUUAUUUUCAUUACAGAGAUAUUUUGAAAAAUUUAAAAGACAUGAACUCACAUAAACAGUUAUGGAUGAUAGUUAAAAGAGAAACGGGUGGAGGUGGAUGAGAGGUUGUCUUCAUGAAUAUAAUUACUUGAGAUUUUUUUUUCUUAAUGGAAUUAGUUUAUUAGAAAAUGUCUGUGUUAAAUCCGUAGAAAAGGAAGAAAAGUGUAGCAACAAAAAUGUAGCCAUUAUCUAACUUGCCAUAAAUAUUUGCAGUUAUGAUACCUUGGAAUGUUGCCACGAUAUGGAUUGCUUUGAUUAAAAGAUGUCAGUUGAAUAAAACAGUACUGUGGGAGAAUCGCUUUCUGCUGCUAGAUAAAUGCUGAUGUUUAUUUUUAAACCAGGAAACAUUGAUCCUGUAACAAUGCCCGAUUACAAUUGCUUUAUUACACCCCAGGGCUGAUGGAGAUGUAAUCACUUGGCUAAUGGAUGUGGGUGCAGGACAGAUGCUCGCUUGCUGGCCUGCUUUCCUGCUUGCAUUCUGAUGAGCUGCAGGAGUGCGCCUGGCCUUCUGCAGGUGGAGCUGCUGUCAGAGCUUCGUUUCACUGAUACCCAAAGCCAUGUCUGACUGAAAUAAAACAGGUUCCCUUUUUUUUUCCCUUUGGAAAAUGCCAACUAAGGGAGACUAAUCAGAUAUCUUAACACAAUUUCAUCCAGGCUUAGUGCUAACAAGAUUGCGGGGCUUUUUAGGGUUUAAGAAGAUGAGAAAUGAGUGUGCACGUUUCACACGUUGACUUGCCGGUUUUUCCAUGUCAUACAAAAAAGUCCUGGCUGUUUCUCCGAACUGGCUGCCUGCAUUCCCGUCUUUCUUUUGUUUUUAAGAAAUAGACUGAAUUCAGCUGUUAAUCCUCUAGUACAGUAUCCAUGUUAAAAUGUUUUUCCAUUGCAUCUUUUAUGUGAAUUCAAAGGUCAGAAUUUAUUGUCUGUGAUAUUGAGACCAUGUGUACAAGAACUACUUUUUGCUUUUCAUCAUUCACUCCUUAGCAAACGUUUCGUAAGUACCCUCUGUCUGUUUGCUACUAUAUGAGGUGCUGCGAAAUUAGUGGGCGUGGCUUUUUAUAUUUUUCAUUCGUGUGUAGCCUAAGUAAGGUGACUCAAGAUGAUACACCGAGAGAAAAAUGCAAAAUAUAUUUGGUUCUCAUUUCUGUUGCUGUCGUUUCCUUUUUAAAGACGAUUUAUCAACUGCUGCCAUUUGGAACUUCCUAUAAGAAACUAAAAAUGAUCUAUUUCAGUGUUCCUUUCGCCUUUCCUCUGCUUUCUGAAUAAAUGGUUUCAGUAACCCAUGCUGUUCUCUCCCUAUUCUACGUCUUUCUCCCUAUGUUGAAAAAAGAUUCCCACAGUUUCUGAUGUGUGUGUUUAUAGUCUUCAAUGUAUGUUAACAUGUUAGGAACUGAGUAUCUUAAGAGAUGUCUUAGAAUGCUUUAGUUUUCAUAAUUUGUCCUUUAUGUAUUUUUCAUUGUAUUUGCUGUUUUGACAUGGAAGUAAUUUAAAAAGUUGGUGCAGGAAAGGACUCUUUACUGUUGCACAUUUUGGUUUUCUGAUAUGUAAUAAAUUCAUGGCUUGGCAGCUGACAUGAUGUUUCCCAGAGAGAAGGAGAUGUAUUUCUGCAGGGUCCAGACCAAAAGAGCCAUUUACAGCAUGUUCUCCCAUGUUCCAUUAUCAGCCUGAUGAAACCUGCCCUGCCAAGGCAUAAACUUUUGUACUAGCUGUCUCCAUAUUAUGUUCAAUAAAUUCUGUGCUCUGAAUAU
rnacentral:lncRNA from 1 species